rnacentral:rRNA from 1 species
AUUGUACGCUGGCGGAAUGCUUUACACAUGCAAGUCGAACGGCAGCACGGACUUCGGUCUGGUGGCGAGUGGCGAACGGGUGAGUAAUGUAUCGGAACGUGCCCAGUCGUGGGGGAUAACGUAGUGAAAAUUACGCUAAUACCGCAUACGAUCUAUGGAUGAAAGCGGGGGAUCGCAAGACCUCGCGCGAUUGGAGCGGCCGAUAUCAGAUUAGGUAGUUGGUGGGGUAAAGGCCCACCAAGCCAACGAUCUGUAGCUGGUCUGAGGGGACGACCAGCCACACUGGAACUGAGACACGGUCCAGACUCCUACGGGAGGCAGCAGUGGGGAAUUUUGGACAAUGGGCGAAAGCCUGAUCCAGCCAUUCCGCGUGCAGGAUGAAGGCCCUCGGGUUGUAAACUGCUUUUGUACAGAACGAAAAGGUUUCUACUAAUACUAGGAGCUCAUGACGGUACCGUAAGAAUAAGCACCGGCUAACUACGUGCCAGCCGCCGCAGUAA